CCAACUUCUUUUUACUAAUCAAAAACCAAUACAAACUUAAAUAACUAACUUCAUCAAAAAAUCAAGUCUCUAAGCAACGGAUGUCUUGGCUCCUCACACGAUGAAGAACGUGGCAUAAUGUGUUAAGUAACCGGAGUUGCAAACAUCAUGACAGGUUAAUCUUUGAAUGCAAAUUGCGCUUACCCGGCUUCGGCCGAGGAGCAUGCGUGUAACAGUACAACAUAAUUUAUAAUAAUUCUUAUUCUACGCGAAUAAGCAAAUAAAUUAUAAG
rnacentral:misc_RNA from 1 species